rfam:Candidatus Kaiserbacteria bacterium RIFCSPLOWO2_01_FTLL_54_20 rifcsplowo2_01_scaffold_47120, whole genome shotgun sequence.
GCUCCCGUGGUGAAACGGAUAUCACGGCAGUCUUCGGAACUGCUAUUCCAGGUUCGAAUCCUGGCGGGAGCG